UGCAGUCGAACGGAAAGGCCCCUUCGGGGGUACUCGAGUGGCGAACGGGUGAGUAACACGUGGGUGAUCUGCCCCAAACUCUGGGAUAAGCCUGGGAAACUGGGUCUAAUACUGGAUAUGACCCUUNCGCUUCAUGGUGGGUGGUGGAAAGCUUUUGCGGUUUGGGAUGGGCCCGCGGCCUAUCAGCUUGUUGGUGGGGUAAUGGCCUACCAAGGCGACGACGGGUAGCCGACCUGAGAGGGUGAUCGGCCACACUGGGACUGAGACACGGCCCAGACUCCUACGGGAGGCAGCAGUGGGGAAUAUUGCACAAUGGGCGCAAGCCUGAUGCAGCGACGCCGCGUGAGGGAUGACGGCCUUCGGGUUGUAAACCUCUUUCGCUAGGGACGAAGCGCAAGUGACGGUACCUAGAGAAGAAGCACCGGCCAACUACGUGCCAGCAGCCGCGGUAAUACGUAGGGUGCGAGCGUUGUCCGGAAUUACUGGGCGUAAAGAGCUCGUAGGCGGUUUGUCGCGUCGUCUGUGAAAUUCUGCAACUCAAUUGCAGGCGUGCAGGCGAUACGGGCAGACUUGAGUACUACAGGGGAGACUGGAAUUCCUGGUGUAGCGGUGAAAUGCGCAGAUAUCAGGAG
rnacentral:rRNA from 1 species